UUUGCUGGCUUCCUUUAGUGGAUGGUCUGCUCCCUUUAAAAGCAUUAGUGGGAUCCUUUGUGGACGGUCACUUGGUGUGAUAAUUAUCUACGCCGUUUGUACUGUGAAGCAAAACUUGUGGGAACCUGCUUAUAACCGUCUGUAAUGGACAAUUUUGAACCUUUGACCUCAAAUCAGGUAGGACUACCCGCUGAACUUAA
rnacentral:misc_RNA from 1 species